UUUGUGGUCACCCAUUUGCCACAGCAGAUGCCCCCGAUUUUCGGUCUAAAUGGCACACUAUCUCUAAAUGCAGCAUGGGGAAUGUGGAAGGUGGAAGUGCUAACUGAUUACUUAGUUGACGGCAGAAUGUGCCAUGAAUUGGUGCGCUGAGCGGUAGAGCAGAGCUGAAGUGAGCGUCCACUGAUUGGCUAAGUAUGCAAAGUGCUUCUGUCCCUGCAGUGUGCUGUGCUCCAUAAACACUCAUUUACAGAACCAGUCUGCAUUUUUGUAUAGUGUGCUUCUGUGUAUUUUAAUAGUCUAAUACAAAUUUAUGUCAAGGAUUAUAAUAAAAGCUUCCACAGUAGAAUGAUAUGGCAGAGUGUUUCUUAUGAGCUGAUGAUUGCGGUAAAAAUAAUAGGAAAGAUUACACAAAAUCAGCGGAAAGGAAUUGCAAAACACAUUCCCCAGAACUGUCUUUUGCAAAGUAACAGCUAACUAGCCUAAUUUCUCCUUAAUAAUUUGUGGAAAAAAAAUAAUCACAGCAACUUAAAUCUCAGACAGAAUCUAUUUGUUUGGAGAACGCCAGAGGAAAAGACAGACACAUUAACCCUGAAUUAUCCUUGCAUGAUCAAUAUGUCACAGCUUUGGCCUCGGCUUUAAUGACUAUACUGUGCUAGUAUAUUAGUUUGAUGCAUUAUAAAUCCAAUAACUUUGCUUGCCAGUGUGUGUUUGCCCCAGCAUAACAAAACAGCGACAUAAUAGAGAUCAGAAUACUUAGUCUUAAUUUUCCACCUCCCUGUAAAAAAAAAAAGAAAAGUCAGAAAAAUGCAUUCUUAAUAUUCCUCUUUACACAGUUUGAAUGUGUGCAUGCCUUUUUUCCCGUCUGUCCUCUGCUGCUGUCUGUAAUUAAAUGGGGUGAAACGGCCUUGUGUUUCACUUUUAUGUUUUUCAAUUUUGUCAGCAAGUUUCCCCACAAUGCACCCAUCUGAAUUUCAAAUGAUAAAUGAAAAUUCUGCUCUUAGUGAAGUAAUUCCAUUAAAGGUCCACAUUAUGGAAAUAAAGACAAAAACCUACAGUAUGUAAUUCAAUUUUCUGUGUUUGGUUUCUCAUAGGGACCACAGUGGAUGAGACCAUCUAUCGAAUUUACUAAUAUUUAAGUGCCUUGUCUUCCCUGAAAACCACAUUACUCUGUGCAUAAAUGAAGCAUUUGCAUUGAGCUAUUCCUCUAAAAUGUAUUUUCUUUUAACUUUACUUAGCCUGCAUGAAUUAGAUAUUUUGAAUUUAUUUCCUCAAUAACCAAAUCACUGUCUCUUCUAGACCACAUCUUCUUUCUAUUCAAAGUUUAAAAGCUUAUCGGAUUUAAUGAAGUCAACUUUUGUGAGUUGCAACCUAACAAUCUUUACAUAACUCAGGAGAUUGAUUACACACAUAAUGAAUGUUUGAAUAAUGUGCAAGACAUGACAGAGGGCACAACCAGGAGUUAUUUUCAUGCUCCUGGCAUGUGUUUGGCUGCAGAGGUGGCAGCCUUAACAGGAAUAUGGAUCCUGGCCUGGGGAGAUGUCUCAGCCUUGCUGUGGGAUCAUUAUUCCAAUGGACAAAGCCUCAGUUAUAAAUAGGUUCAUGGAGUUCUUGGGCGGCACACUCUUUGUUUCCAGACUGGCCCUAUUUGUCUUAUUGAUCUGAAUAUGUGUGGCCACACAGUUGCUGUUUGGAGGAAUAGGUGAAAGGGUGUUGAGGUGUUGUUUUUUCUACUUUUUUCUACUUCUGAAGUCAUUUUUUUGUUGUAAUUCUUUGGUAUGUUCUUAUAUAGGUAAUACUUGACUAAUGCAACUAAAACUAAUCAGUAAACCAGUAUAAACCUUCACUUCAUUUUAAUGCAAUUUUAUUUAUAUAACAGCAAAUUACAGUUGUCUCAAGAUGCUUUAUAUUGUAAGGCAAAGA